UUUUGUUGUUGUAUUCGGUGUCUCUGGAAGGGUAUUUUAAGGGCGUAUCUUCAUUCGAUAUAUGGUCAGUCUUGAUGUCCACAUCACAGAAGUGGUUCUUCACAAGGUCACAGUUUAAAAGGCUUGAGACCUUUUCCAGAGGUUAGAGAAUUUAUCUGAUGUUUCUCCUAGGUUAUCCACAUUUUUAAUGAAAAUUUUGGGCAUUUUAAGAGAGUAAGACANNNNNNNNNNNNNNNNNNNCAAUGAAAUGUAGGGAGAGCCCACCCACUUCCCUUAAAAGCCGUGGAUAAUAGUUUAAUUUCCUUGGCAUGGUGAGCCUUAGUGAAGUCCAUCAGAGCUUGAAGUGUAGGCUGUGGUCCUGCCAAUUUAUGAACCUUUAUUAAUUUAUUUUUUAGGCAUGACCUCCAAAUGGCCCAGCUCCUCCUGGCACCAAAACUGAAGAAAGUGGUGACAUGAACUGUCCCCUCUGUACUUUGCUUUGGCAACUGAGAAGCUCAAAGCUUAAUUUUCAGCUUUCAGCUCAUAUAUAUGAGCAUAAACUUAAAUCAUCUCAAAAGGACAAGGUCCGCCAGUUCAUGGCAUUUACUCAGGCUGGCAAGAGAAGUGCCACCCACUGCUUAGAGCAGAGCAAGUAGACACCAGACCUGGCCACAGACAGCUGCUCCCAGCACCCAAGCUUGUUCACAGGGAAUCCACGAGAACCUCCGUGGACAGGAAGAAGCUGGAGCGGCUGUAUAACAGGUACCAAGGUAAGGGCACCAAGGCGCCGCACGUCCAGGGCGCAGGGGUGGUGCUGGGAGUUUCCCGUGCCGUGUCCCAAGGCCUCUGACCAUGUGCCGUGUUAGGAGCACAGUCCCCUCCCUUGCUGAUGGUCAGCUAUACGGUUUAGUUAGUUUAAUCGGAACGUGGCUCCUGAUGGCUCAAGGCUGGGGUGGGACAAGGCGCACAGAGUCUAAAGGCUGAUGGGCAGCGAGCCCUCCUAUACGCGGCCUGGGUCAGCUGUGGGGAGUCACUGGUGGGAGGCUUGGUGUCCAGGCCAGGGGGCUACGCCCGCUACGAGAGUACUUUUCCCCAGCACUUCCACUGGGCAGGAGUACCUGGUGAGAAGGCUGCUUGAGAACUAUUCCACAUCAUCCGAGUAGUUCUGACAGGAGCUGCAGGUCACCCUGCCCUCCACGGUUGGUGGUGCCAGAGUCCUGCAACAGUGCCAUGGCAGAAGCUUCUGGAAGAGCUCUUGGCAGAGAAACCUUGUGUUGUCAUUUGGAGACAGUGGUUAUUUUUAUUGAGAUCUAGAUUAAAAAAAAUCAACCAAAAAUGGCAUUCUUUUUUUUUUUUUUAAUCUUAGUUCAGAAACCUUCUGUGGUUAAAAAAAACAGGUUUGUAUUUGUAGUUCUCCAAAAAGGAACAUUGUUUUCUGUGUGCUUUAGAUUUUUUGGCUAAGUUAAUUACUGAGCUGAUUUUGUAAGUUCUACGCCCUGCAGAUUUUUUAAGUUAUUCAUAUAUGUGCAACUGCCUUUGCAAAAAUAUUUUUGUAUGAAAGUUAUCUUUAUCCUUUAGUUCAAGAUUUAGGCCCUAAAAAUAAAUAUAUAGAGACUGUUGACA
ensembl:lncRNA